rnacentral:rRNA from 1 species
CAGAAACUACAAAGGAAUUAGACGGGGCCCGCACAAGCGGUGGAGUAUGUGGUUAAUUCGAUGCAACGCGAAGAACCUUACCUGGUCUUGACAUCCCGGAGACCCUUAGGAACUAGGGGGUGGCUUCCAUCUGGAAGAAUCUGGAGACAGGUGCUGCAUGGCUGUCGUCAGCUCGUGUCGUGAGAUGUUGGGUUAAGUCCCGCAACGAGCGCAACCCUUGCCUUUAGUUGCCAGCAGUUCGGCUGGGCACUCUAAAGGGACUGCCGGUGUUAAACCGGAGGAAGGUGGGGAUGACGUCAAGUCCUCAUGGCCUUUAUGACCAGGGCUACACACGUACUACAAUGGCCGAUACAAAGGGCAGCGACACUGCGAGGUGAAGCCAAUCCCGUAAAAUCGGUCUCAGUCCGGAUUGGAGUCUGCAACUCGACUCCAUGAAGUUGGAAUCGCUAGUAAUCGUGGAUCAGCAUGCCACGGUGAAUACGUUCCCGGGCCUU